rnacentral:lncRNA from 1 species
CGACCGAGUUCCACUAUCCAAAUGUAUAACGGAAGAAAGUAUACGCCAUAGAUCCUCAAAGUUUUUUACACACUUGCUGCAGCUGCUAACAGGAACACACCCACUAUUUUUACAAGUUCAGGAACACGCCCACUGUAUUUAAAAAUUCACACGACACUGAUAGGUUCAGCAAAGCUACUGUCAAUUUGUAUCUCAAUACGAAUUGACCUUUUCCUUCCCUUUCCUUGUUUGAUGCUUGCAUUUAUUCAACCACUUGUAUUGGCAUGUGUUGUUUGUUAGAUGUUGAAAUACACUUAGCAUUGUAUUUUGACCUUUUGGGAGACACCUACUCCCUGUUUCAUGCUAAGGAGCCUAGCUUGAACAAUUUUCAGGCAAAAAGAGAUGCACCUUUUUUUUCUUUUUUUUUCGAAAAGAAGGGAAAUCCCCCGGCCUCUGCAUCAAUCGAUACACGCAGCCAUAAAAGAGAUGCACCUGAGCCUAGUUCAUCCACGCACAGCACAACGGAGAAACAAAAAAUCCCAACAAAUCACAGAUAAAUGUCGAGCAGGAUAAGAAAGAACAGCUAAUCAGAAUAUAGUCGGCCGUCAGAUCUCCCCAGAAAGGGGCAUACACAUGCCUGUGCUUUCUUCAUCAGAAAAAAAAUAACAUUCCUCCGUCC